AUGUAUGACCUUCCUCUACUUGUGAAAACCAGCUCUGCCCUGACCCUGCAGGUCACUCAGAGGACUCUAGCCCUGUCUUCCCAUUUGAAGAUCAACACUGAAAACAUUACAAUCAACAUGGGAUUAGGGUUGAACUGGGUUUUCUUGGUUGUCGUUUUGAAAGGUAUACAUUGUGAGGUGCAGCUGGUUGAGUCUGGUAGAGGACUGGCCCAGCCCAAGGAGUCAUUGACGCUCUCCUGUGCAGCCUCUGGAUUCACCUUCACUAGCUAUGCCAUGUUCUGGGUCUGCCAGGCUCCAGGGAAAGGUCUGGAAUGGGUUGCUGCCAUAGGAGUUAAAAGUAAUAAUUAUGUAACCUAUUAUGCUGCUUCGGUGAAAGACAGAUUCACCAUCUACAGAGAUGAAUCCCAAAGCAAGGUCUUCCUUCAAAUGAACAACCUGAGAACUGAGGACACAGCCAUGUAUUACUGUACAAGGGACACAGUGAGGACUCUUGUGUGA